GAUGAACGCUGGCGGCGUGCCUAAUACAUGCAAGCCGAGCGAAUGGAUUAAGAGCUUGCUCUUAUGAAGUUAGCGGCGGACGGGUGAGUAACACGUGGGUAACCUGCCCAUAAGACUGGGAUAACUCCGGGAAACCGGGGCUAAUACCGGAUAACAUUUUGAACCGCAUGGUUCGAAAUUGAAAGGCGGCUUCGGCUGUAACUUAUGGAUGGACCCGCGUCGCAUUAGCUAGGUGGUGAGGUAAAGGCUCACCAAGGCAACGAUGCGUAGCCGACCUGAGAGGGUGAUCGGCCACACUGGGACUGAGACACGGCCCAGACUCCUACGGGAGGCGGCAGUAGGGAAUCUUCCGCAAUGGACGAAAGUCUGACGGAGCAACGCCGCGUGAGUGAUGAAGGCUUUCGGGUCGUAAAACUCUGUUGUUAGGGAAGAACAAGUGCUAGUUGAAUAAGCUGGCACCUUGACGGUACCUAACCAGAAAGCCACGGCUAACUACGUGCCAGCAGCCGCGGUAA
rnacentral:rRNA from 1 species